AGCGAACGCUGGCGGCAGGCCUAAUACAUGCAAGUCGAACGCACCUUCGGGUGAGUGGCGGACGGGUGAGUAACACGUGGGAACGUGCCCUUUGGUUCGGAAUAAUCCGGGGAAACCUGGCCUAAUACCGGAUGUGCCCCUUCGGGGGAAAGAUUUAUCGCCAUUGGAGCGGCCCGCGUCUGAUUAGCUAGUUGGUGGGGUAAAGGCCCACCAAGGCUACGAUCAGUAGCUGGUCUGAGAGGAUGAUCAGCCACACUGGGACUGAGACAC
rnacentral:rRNA from 1 species